UACGUAGGCAGCGAGCGUUGUUCGGAAUUACUGGGCGUAAAGAGUGUGUAGGCGGUGCUCUAAGUUCGGGUGUGAAAUCUCCUGGCUCAACUGGGAGGGUGCGCCGGAAACUGGAGUGCUUGAGCGUGGGAGAGGAAAGCGGAAUUCCUGGUGUAGCGGUGAAAUGCGUAGAUAUCAGGAGGAACACCUGUGGUGUAGACGGCUUUCUGGGAACCUAGCUGACGCUGAGACGCGAAAAGCGCGGGGGAGCGAAACGGG
rnacentral:rRNA from 1 species